rnacentral:rRNA from 1 species
UACGGGGGGGGCAAGCGUUGUUCGGAAUUACUGGGCGUAAAGAGCUCGUGGGCGGCUCGUUGCGUCGGCUGUGAAAACCCGCAGCUCAACUGUGGGCUUGCAGCUGAUACGGGCGGGCUGGGAUUCGGUAGGGGAGACUGGAAUUCCUGGUGUAGCGGUGAAAUGCGCAGAUAUCAGGAGGAACACCGGUGGCGAAGGCGGGUCUCUGGGCCGAUAUCGACGCUGAGGAGCGAAAGCGUGGGGAGCGAACAGG